rnacentral:tRNA from 1 species
CGGGGCAUAGCGCAGUCUGGUAGCGCUCCACGUUCGGAACGUGGAGGUCGCAGGUUCAAAUCCUGCUGCCCCGACCA